rnacentral:lncRNA from 1 species
AGUAGGGAACUAAAUGAUCCGGAAGUUUUCGGCUACAUUAAAAUAUAGGUGAAGUACCCAAAAAUUUGUGUUCGAUAUUUUGUGUCGAGGUUGCGUGCGAAGAAGCAAAACCCCUUGUAAGGGAGUGACUUGAGGAUCAGCUUCAGCUUUCUGAGACAUAAUGACAAAUAACAAAUGGGUUUGAUAUAGGAGCAGUUUUACUUACAUCACAUGUUUAGCUUUCCAUUUGUGGUCCUCUUUUUUCUCCAAUCUCUAAGCAAAUCCUACACAUGUCUUGAAAAACUUGUAAACCAUGGACCCCAUUAAGGAUUCAGUUGUAUCUUCCUUAAUUG